rnacentral:rRNA from 1 species
AGCGAACGCUGGCGGCAUGCCUAACACAUGCAAGUCGCACGGGGGGGCUUCGGCCUCCCAGUGGCGGACGGGUGAGGAACGCGUAGGGACCUGUCGAGGGGUGGGGGAUAACCGCGGGAAACUGCGGCUAAUACCGCAUGACGCCGCUGCGUCACAGCCGGUACCAAAGGCGACAGCCGCCCGCCGAGGGGCCUGCGUCCGAUUGGCUGGUUAGCGGGGUAGCGGCCCACCAAGGCGUCGACCGCUAGCUGGUCUGAGAGGUAGAUCACCCACACCGGGACGGAGCAACGGCCCGGACUCUUACGCGAGGGAGCAGUGGGGAAUAUAGGAAAAUGGGGGCAAGCAUGAUCCAGCAAUGCCGGGUGGGUGAAGAAGGUCGUCGGAUAGUAAAGCCCUUUCAGCGGGGACGAUGGUGACGGUACCCGCAGAAGAAGCCCCGGCUAACUUCGUG